rnacentral:lncRNA from 1 species
ACUGCUGGCAGCUCCCAGGCUGCCAUGUGCAACUCAGCUCCAGCUCCUCCCUGGUUUACAGCCUUGGGCUGUGGUCUUCAGGGAGCAGAGUGGAAAUGGACUUUGAGACAGGAAAACUGGGGAAGAAAAUAAUACCUGCUGUGAGAUGAAAAUAUCUUGGUGUGAGUAUAUGUCUGCAUUUGUAUGUGUGUGCUCGGUUCAUGUGGGAGGAAGUAAAAGGUGAGUGUGAGAUGAGAGGAAAGGAGGAGAGUGGGCUGGCAUUCGCUUUCAGCAGGUGUGCACAGUUGGAAAGGUGUCACUGCAGCGACUCCAACUGCUCUGUCCCACCCACUUCCUUCACCCUGUUCUCCUUCCCCUCCUUCCCUGGAUCUCCAUGUGGCCUGGCUACACACGUCCCCAGGGAACAAAUACCCUAAUCUGGAAGGGAGAUAGAAGCUAAGGGCGGACAGCUGUGCUGCUUCAGAAUACGAGUAGUUUGAGUAAAGUCAGUCAUCAAAAGACAAAUGGAGUCAGGAAGGGAUGGAGAAAGGAAGAUGGAGGGACGGAAGAAGAAAGGACAGAGAGGGACAGGCAGAAACUGGGUGGAGGUGGAGGGAGACAGACAGACAGACAGAGAGACAGAAACAGUUUUAAUUUCACAAAACUGUGAGAGAAUCUGAGAAGCACCGUUACACAAAACACCUCCUGGGUAUUCAUUCAUCAGCAUGUGGCUUCCUUACUCCUGAAUAAUAAUGAUAGCAAGUGGAAUAAAUGAAAACCCUCUGGCCUUAGCCCUCUUAAGAGCUUGCAAUAUGAUACACAUAUUGUUUUAUAUAGCAAGGGAGUUGUCAGGUAAUCUAGGUUGCCACAUUGCCUAAAACAGAAAGUACACUGGACUCUCAAAGACAAAAAGAGAAUGUGAAGAUUUAGAUUCAGUCUUUGAUUAUUUCUUCUAAUGCUCAAAGGAUGACCCUAAAGAUACUAAACCAAAUUCUGUCAGUUCCUUUUCAAUUGUUGAACUUGACGAACAUUUAAAAGAAGCCAAACAUAUUUAUGGAUGAUUUGCAAAGGAUGGAAUUAAAGUCUUCAUUUCUGUGUCCUAAAAUUCGUUUUCACCUCACUUCCUGGCUAUAUCUUUACUUUCUCUCGUCUCAAACAAAACUUAAGUCUUCUUCAAAAUUGACCUCUUUCUUAAAAACAAGUCAUCAAAACAAAUUGUAUAAAACUUUUUGUUUUUGUAUAUUUUACUAUCAUAUGAUUUUUUUUUUGACACAGUCUUGCUCUGUGGCCCAGGCUGGAGUGCAGUGGCACAAUCUCAGCUCACUGCAACCUCCGUCAAGUGAUUCUCCUGCCUCAGCCUCCCAAGUAGUUGAGAUUACAGGCGUGCGCCAACACGCCCAGUGAAUUUUUUAUAUUUUUAGUAGAAACGGGGUUUCACCAUGCUGGCCUGGUUGGUCUUGAACUCCUCACCUCAGGUGAUCCACCCACCUUGGCCUCCCAAAGCGCUAGGAUUACAGGUGUGGGCCACCAUGCCCGGCUCCAUCAUGUGAAUUUUAACUACAGUGGCCAGAGCCUCAGGUGGAUCUUCCAAGUGUACAAGGACAAAACGAGAGUUGGUUUUUGAUUUUGAAAAUACCAAUCUAAUCCUUGGUGUAGCUUAAUCUCUUAUUUCAUUAUCGACUAACUCUGUGGCUUUCCAGAAACUGCUUCUCCUUGAUUUUCUAAAGUUAGGUAACUUCAGGUAACAACACUUCCCUGAUCUGGUUACAUUUCAGGAGCUAUUAGAAAGGUGGUAUUAUAAUCCAUUCCUUUAAAAAUAAAUCUGUUGCAGAUGUAAAAAAAAAAAAAAAAAGAAGAAAAGAAAGGUGGUAUUAUAAAUUCAACAUUUUUAUGACACUGAAAACAGUAAAUUACCAUUAAAAUGCCUCUUUUGUCCAGAAAAUCUCACACACAUUGCAGACAUUUAGUAGUCAUUAUUUCCCUCUGAAGGAAAAAAAUUAGGUGGCAAUAAUUUUUCUUAUAAAUGGAGAAAAUUUGAGUUAAGGAAAUAGGUGCUUAUACUCAUAUCACAAAGUCUGUGAAGCUCAUCGGAAAACAAAAACAGAUAUUCAGGGGUUUUCUUUUCCUUUCGUUUUCCAAUCCAGCCCCUCAAAUAUUCUAUUAAUAAUAUAACCACCUAAAAUGGCAUAAUAAAAAUUGGAAAAGAAAGACCUCAUUUUACUCAGAAAAUCACUUUCACAUAAACCAGUUCCUGUAGUUCAUUAUUUUUUCUAGAAUUCUCACACAAGCCCAGUGUUUCAAAGUGAGUUUUCCAUUUAAAUACCUCUGUAAGCCCUUGGUUAAAAUACAGUACUGUGUAAAAAUUUUCACCACCGUAAAUAUCUGUCAGAUAGUUGCCUGUAAAUCAAAUGAAAUUUCAAAAUGUGUUUUGAACAUUGUUAUGAUGCAAUAUAAGUAAACACUAUUGUUCUUAAGACCUUCAUCAUCAAUUGAUUGUAAAACUAUUUAUAAAAAGACACUGAGUAUGAAAUGCCCUGGUGAUAAAUAAAAGGAUACAAAAGAAAGACUUAAACUGCCUAGAAGGUAUUACUCAGAUGAACACAGAUGAAGUGAUUCACUGUACUUACUGGGUUAGUGAGAAUUUGGUUUAGUAUCUUUAGGGUCAUGCUUUGAGGAUUAGAAGAAAUAAUCAAAGUCUGAAUCUAAAUCUUCACGUUCUCUCUCUCUUUCUCUCUCUUUUUUUAGAUUCUACUGUACUUUCUAUUUCAGACAAUGCGGCAACCUAGAUUACCUAACUGCCAACUUCCUUGCUAUAUAAAACACCUAGAAUUGUUGGGUUAAAUAUACUACCUUUUGGAUGAAUUCAUUUAGCAUCUCUUGAGUGUUUACUUUAUGCCAGGCUCUGUUCUAGGCACUGAAGUUAUAUCCAUGAACAAAAAGCCAACAAUCUCAGCCUGCCUGUGGAACUUACACUUUGGGUUAAUUGACUGAAUUGGAAAGAAAGAAUAAGCCAAAAGCAGAGGGAAGAGAAAAAACGUAAAGUGCAGGUAAGCUGGCAUAGCUUUCCUGAGGAGGUCUGCCAGUUUCUGUAAUCUUUUUCUUUUUUCUGGUUUUUUGUUUUUUUUUUUCUUUUGAGACGGAGUCUCGCUCUGUCUCCAGGCUGGAGUGCAGUGGUGCAAUCUCAGCUGACUGCAACCUCCGCCUCUGAGGUUCAAGUGAUUCUCCUGCCCCCCGAGUAGUUGGGAAUACAAGUGUGCACCACCACGCCCAGCUAAGUUUUGUAUUUUUAGAGAUGGGGUUUCACCAUGUUGGCCAGGAUGGUCUUGAUCUCUUCAUCUCGUGAUCCACCUGCCUCAGCCCCCCAAAGUGUUGGGAUUAUAGGCGUGAGCCAUUGCACUUGGCCCACCUUUUUCUUUUUCUUUUUUUUUUUUUUUUUUUUUUUGAGACAGGGUCUCGCUCUAUUGCUGGGCAUGUGCCACCAAACCUGGAUAAUUUUUGUAUUGUUUGUAGACACAGGUUUUCACUAUGUUGCCCAGGCUGAUCUAGAACUCCCGGGCUCAAGUGUUCCUCCCACCUCAGCCUCCAAAAGUGCUGGGGUUACAGGCGUGAAUCAACAUGCCCAGCCCUCUGUAACCUUUUUAAUGAACAAGGAGAAGACUAGGUAGGUCUCAACUGUUACUGAGACUCCUAGAUAACGCCUGGACCCUUGAAGUGUCACGCCCUCAUUCAAAGAGGAAACUUUAAAAAUUUUCUCACUGCAAAGGGAACAAUAAGAAAUCUCCUAUGUUGUCUUAAACAACUUGUUUUUUCCUGAUAGGAAAAUUUUACCCACUAGCCUGGGCCUCCCUGGGAUUGGAAUAUUAGAUUGAAACUUAAACUAUCAUUAUGGUUCUGGAACCCCAAGCCAAGAAAUUAAUAUUAAAAGUGGUCUUGGGUCAGCAAUGCUUCUGCCUGAGGCACCCGGCAGAAGCAAAUCAAACGUUUUUUGUUUUUGUUUUUGUUUGAGACAGAGUCUUGCUUGGUUGCCCAGGCUGGCGUGCAGCGGUGCGAUCUCGGCUCACUGAAACCUCCUUCUGCCUCCCGGGUACAAGCGAUUCUCCUGCCUCAGCCUCCCAAGUAGCUGUGAUUACAGGCGCACACCACCAAGCCCAGCUAAUUUUUUGUAUUUUUAGUAGAGAUGGGGUUUCACCAUGUUGGCCAGGCUGGUCUCAAAUUCCUGACCUCAAGUGAUCUGCCCACCUCGGCCUCCCAAAGUGCUGGGAUUACAGGCGUGAGCCACUGCGCCCGGCCGCAAACCGUUUUUAAAAGAAUAUACUCUCAAACCAAGUCACAAAGGAUUUCUAAGACCGAACCUUGCUUUCAGUGAGUUCACAAACUACAAAAUUUAAGAGGAAACAAUCUACCUUCAGCUACAGUCUACAGACAAAACAAAAAGCAGCAAUUUGUCUUCCCCAAACUUGGGGCAUGUUGUCAAGAAGGAAAUGAAGAGGAAGUAUUCGUAUUAAGGCAGUACCGUAGAAAUUCAAUUUUAAAUGGAAGAAUGCUUGCUUUACUUUGAGCUGGAGGUCAGAGUGCUAUCCAGCAAAGGCCAGUGUGGAGACCCCAGUCCAGCCGUGAUAGCAGAAGCAUUCUUCCGUUACAGGGAAACUACACUGCAUAUUAAAUAGGGGAACAGAGAUGAAAAAAUAAUUUGAAUGUUAGUUUCCAGUUUUAUAAUUAACACUUUUUAGUAUGUGGGCGGUCUUUUGUCUCAUUUUUAAAUUCUCUAUUUGAGCUUUUGAUUUUCCUCCCUCUUAUGCUAAGAAACAAAAAUAUAUGUGAGGUUAAAAAAAUCUCUAAAAGCAAUGACUUAAAAAAUGACAAGACUCUAGAUAUCAUUCCUUUUCUUCUUGGCCUUAUAGUACAUCUCAGUGUUGGCAGAUUACUAAUUAAUAUAUUUUGCAUUAAGAUAUUUUUCCUAAUAUUCUUUUUUCUUUUUUAUUUUUCUUUUUGAGAGGGAGUCUCGCUCUGUCGCCCAGGCUGGAGUGUAAUGGCGCAAUCUUGGCUCACUGCAACCUCCGCCUCCUGGGUUCAAGAGAUUCUCCCGCCUCAGCCUCCUGAAUAGCUGGGAUUAUAGGCACUCACCAUCAUGCCUGCCUAAUUAUUGUGUUUUUGUAGGGAUGGGUUUUCACCAUGUUGGCCAGGAUGGUCUUGAACUCCUGACCUCAGGUGAUCCGCCCUCCUCGGCCUCCCAAAGUGCUGGGAUUACAGGCGUGAGUCACUGCACCCGGCCUAUUUUUCCUAAUAUUCUUAAGGGAUUAUUAGAGUUAUUAAAUUAAACAGUACUACAAAGUACAGUCCCAUAGGCUCAGCUUUGAUUAUUUCCACAAUUUACUAUCAAAUAUUUGAGACAGCAUUAUUAAAAGUCAAUGGACUUCUGGUUUAUAAAGAACCGGUAACUCUUUAAUUUCUUACUUUGAUCAUACACACCACUGCCAUGUUUAUACUUUUGUGAGGUCAUCAAAAUAAAGUCAAACAAUUUCAUGUUAUAUUAAAAACAAUAUAAUAUCUGCUUCCUUUGUGAUUUCUUCUUAUUUAUUAUGUAAAAAGAAAAACCUGGGUAAUUUAAAUUCUUUUAACCUUACACAUGUUCUAGAGUACUGGAAAAAAUUAAAAGUACAAUUUACAUUAACAUGUUCAAUAAUCUGCUUUUUGUAUGACAAUAAAAUUAGAGGUAGCACACCUUAAAUAUAUAAUUUUACUUAAAAAUAUUCACCAUAAUCAAGUGACAGUUGUACUUAAAUGAUUAUUUGAGCAAGAUAAUUAGUAUUCUUAGAAUAUUUUCUAACUUUCAAACAAUGGAUAUUGUUGAAAUCCAAGUUAUACACAACACAUUACUGCACACAUAAAAAUGACAAGUGAUCGUAGAAUAAUCUCAGAAACAUUCUUUAAAUUCAAAAUGUACCACACAUAAUUUGCAAUCAAAGUUGACCCAUCAGGGUUAGCAGUAAAUGUUCUGCCCUGGCACUGAGUUGAAACAGGUAAGUUCAUCAAAGGGGCUAUGAUACCUGCCAUGCCUUCCUUCAUGCUUGUUGCUCACAGAGACUAGCAUAAUGAAAACACUUUCUGAUUUCAAGGCAAGUCAGAAAUAUGAAGAUUUAUAACCUGGCAGAUCUAAUGGAGCUGUCAAAAAGGGAAGUUACACUCACAGUGAAAUGGUCACAUCAUGAUCUAGUUUUCAUCCUGAUUGAAAAAAAAAAUCUUUGUGAAGAACCCUACAAAUGUUUUUGGUAAAAGAGAUUCACAAUAAAAGAAGAAGAAAAAUAAAAAUAGAGCGAUGAAGAGGUAUUUUUUCAAAACAUGAGAGCCGAAGUCGGAGAUAAUGUCGUACAUGAGACAGUGAAUUUAGGAGAGUGCCCCCCUCUAAGUGCAUUAUUCCCCUUUCAUUUAGAAUACAGAAAAGAGUCAGAGGAAGACAAAAGAAAAGGAAAGAACCAAACUUCCAAAAUAGCAUUACACUACAUUAUUAAUAGCGUCACACUAAGAGAAAUGACAGCUCUCAAAAGAGUACUUUUGUCUCCACUUACUUUAAUUAAACUCCCUAGACUACAAAGUGAAUCUCAAUCUCUUUUUUAAACAUAAAAAAAUCAAAGCUGAUUAAGAUGUGAUUUCUGUCCUCUAAUGGUCCUCACCCUUAGUUAUAUACUAUUUAAAACAACAGAAACAGCAGCAGCAGCAGCAACGGACCUCAACAUCCUGCAAAUUUUCUCAAAAGGACCAAAAUGUCAUACUCUGCUCCUCUGCCUUCUCACAGAUAAAUUAGUUUCCAGUGUGUCCCUCCCUCUGUAGCCAGCACUAAACCUCAUUUAAACUUCAAAUGAGAAUUAUAGCACAAUUAUACUAGUAUGAAUGUUUCAAUUAAUGUAACUUUCCUUAUACCAGAGUCCUGUAACAACUUUGCUUUAAAAUAAGCUGAUGAGAUUUUAAAGGUUCACUGCAAAAUAUGAUCCCUGAAAAUUAAUCCAUAUUGGCGGAAAAAAAGAGAAGUUUUCAAAUUUGUGGAAAUAAUUUCAAAAAUCCAUUACAGCCAAUGUAAUGUCAUUACUCUUCUACUAAAAAAUCUUAAAGGAAAACAUAUUUCUCUCUUCCCUAUGUGCACUGUCCAUCUGUCCCAAACUAAAUGUAUCAUCCUCGUUUUAUACUCUCUGCCCAAUCCAAGAUCUCCUCCUCUUUCUCAACUAUUUCACCUUUCCACUGAAAUCCCCAUUUUCUACUCAAAAGUUUGGUGACAUUUUGACUCUUGCUCUUUGAUUCUUUGAUCCAAAUCAACAAUUUUCUUGUUAGCUUAUUCAAAAUGUUAUUUGGUUAUGUUCUUUCCUCUGUUUUCCCAUUGCAUUAUCCUACCUAGACCCUUCCCUACCUCUCAUUUAUUAAAUAAAUCACUCUCUGCUGACUAGAUAUGUGCUCUGAGGAAAUAGAAUGCUGCUCUCUCUGCCUACUGACUUUCUCUACUCCAAUAUAUUCUGUUUAAAACCAACAUGGCAUUUUCAAAACUUUGUUUUUUGUCUAGAACCAACAAUGGUUCACCGCUGCGAAGCCACAAGUCCUAACUGUAUUUAUCCAUAAUGUUAAGUACCGUGGAGAUACAGAAGAAGGCAGGUGUAUUGGCCUAAAGGGGCUUAUUCCCUAAUUGAGGAGAUGGGACUUCCAUUCCUGAGACAGCGAGAACACAAAUCUCAGGCAGGUGCAAAAUAAUAAACUACAUGAAGAAGGUGAACAAGGAAACAUUUGCUUUGUGCCGGGGUUGGUUUCGAAGGCUUAAAGUGUAGACUAACAUUUAGCUAAACCUUGAAGAGAAGCACAGUUAGCAAAGUCAAAGCAGGAAGACUGGAGAUUUCCAAACAACACUGGUUUGGAAAGCAACUUAAGAGAGAGUUCUGGAUAGAUAAAGUGGGGCCAACCAACCACUUUCACCUCCAAGUGGAAGAAUCUGUACCUGAUUUGGUAGGCCACACAGAGGUUCCUGGGAAGAAAUUUAUUAUGAGAAAAGAAGUCAGAGGGAGAUUAACCUGAGUGCUCUUCCAGAGUACAAGGGCCAUGUGACAGCAAUCAGGCUGUGAAGUGAUGACUAUUUUCUUAAGGGCCAUGUGACAGCAAUCAGGCUGUGAAGUGAUGACUAUUUUCUUAAGAAUGUGAGCUGAGAGACUCAUGUAGUAUUGGUUGAUUCAUUCAUUCCACAGAUAUUCACUCAAGCACCUAUCACAGCACCUAUCAAGCACCUAUCACAGCUAAAAACAAACAUAAAAACCUCUGCCCUUGUAGAGCUUACAUUGUAGCAAGUGGAGGGGAAGAAGGGGAGAACAAUAUGCAGGAAACAUAAUAAAUUAGUAAAUGAAAGGGAAGGUGAUAUUGACAGAAUACAAGGCAGGGUAGGCGAUUAGAACUGCUGGAGAAGGAAUCAAAAUUUUAAAUUGGGGCUGGGGUGGUGGCUCACGCCUGUAAUCCCAGCACUUUGGGAGGCCUAAGUGCGCGGAUCACGAGGUCAGAAGUUUGAGACCAGCCUGGCCAAUAUGGUGAAACCCCGUCUCUACUAAAAAUACAAAAAUUAGCUGGGCGUGGUGGUGGGUGCCUGCAAUCCCAGCUACUUGGGAGGCUGAUGCAGGAGAAUUGCUUGAACCUGGGAGGUGGAGCUUGCAGUGAGUGGAGAUUGCGCCAUUGCACUCCAGCCUGGGCAACACAGCAAGACUCCAACUCAAAAAAAAAAAAAUUAAAUUGGGUCAUCAGAAUAGCAUUUACUGAAAAUAUGACAUUUAAGCAAAAACUUAAAAAUAAAAAUGGGAAUCCUCCUCAGGAGGGAAGGCAAUAAAUUAGAUUUCAGAGGUGAUAAUGGUUUAGAAAUGUUUACAUGUUAGGAUAUUUAUGUGUACCAUCUCCUAAGUUUCUGAGUACUUGAGGAAUCAUAAAGAUAGUUAAUACUGGAUAAAUAAGUACUAUUACCUAUGUGCAUGAAAACCAUAGAUAUUCACGCUAAUAAAAAUAGAUUCCCCAAAUUUAUUUUUCUUCCAGAUUCCCUGGAUUCCUAGGUUGUUAAUAGAGCGCGUGCAUUUAACUGUGAAUGACUCCACUGCUAUUUCUGAAAUAACCACU